UACGGGGGGGGCAAGCGUUGUUCGGAAUUACUGGGCGUAAAGGGUUCGUAGGUGGCCAACUAAGUCAGACGUGAAAUCCCUCAGCUUAACUGGGGAACUGCGUCUGAGACUGGAUGGCUUGAGUGCAGGAGAGGAACGCGGAAUUCCAGGUGUAGCGGUGAAAUGCGUAGAUAUCUGGAGGAACACCGGUGGCGAAGGCGGCGUUCUGGACUGCAACUGACACUGAACAACGAAAGCCAGGGGAGCAAACGGG
rnacentral:rRNA from 1 species